CCGUGUGUCAAGCUUUUAAUAAAGGUUGAGGAGCCAAGACAGACAAAGAGGUGGCAAUUCCCAUCUUCCAGUGACAUAACUUGCUAUGUCUAUGUCACUUCCAUCUCUCCCCUCAUUUCAUUUCAUUUCUAUCCCUUUCCAUUUUAAAAUAUCAAAGCAGCUUACAAACAAGAUAAAGCAUGUAAUCUCAUUCAAAAAUGAAUAGCAGCAGUCUUGCAGUCAAAUUGUCAUAAGUAACAGAGUAAAAAGCCUCCUUAAACAGGAAGGUGUUCCCUAAGGAGGAUAUUUCACAACUCUUAUUACUCAGAUAGACUGCUCCUGCUCAGAAAGCCUUGGGGGAGGGAAACAGCUCAUGUUUUAUCUAGCCAGGAGCAGCUGGCCAGAGUCACAUGUCCCAGAUUUUCUCCACGCACAGACAAGCACAUGCACACACGCAACAUCACCUGCAAUGGCUGACAAUGCUUUGCAGUAAUGUUAUCUUAAUACCUGUCAGACUCCCAGGGGAUGAGGUGGGUUCCUAGCUCUUCUUAAACUCCAGAGUGACUGGAGCAACCCCAAAAAGGUCAGCCUCAGGAACAGCCAGUGGAGGAGACUAGCUUGUUACCUGUGUUGUUGUCCUGCUAGCUUGCUGCAUUCAGCCAGUUCCCUCUCCUGGAGAACUCCUGGCUCCCAUGCCCAGAAGCAGCCCCUCAUCAUCAGCGGCCUUGUCUUUAAAUACCCCAGUGCAGCGCUGACAGGUCUUAAAGCCUGCUUCCAGUCCCGCCCCCUUCCUGACCUUGCUUCCUGUUUCCUGCCACACCCAACCUAGCUGUCUCCUGCAGCUCUCCCUGCCUUGCUUUCUCAGUCUCAACCCCACUGAGAUCUGACCAGCCUGGGCCCUUCUCAUCCCCACUGCCCCCUAAAGCGAACAAGAUGCCAUGCCCUUCUCCAGCCUCCACAAUGGGAUGCCAUGUCCUUCUCCAGCCUCCACAGGGCCACACAAGCAACCAGGUAACAUGGAACCUGUUAAGCAAGGAAGCAGAUUGAAGAUUGUGCAGCCUGAGGAUGUGAACAGGAUUCUUGUGGUGAAACAAAUCAUUUGAUUGACCCUUUCUAAUCUUGAUUAAUGCUUCCUGAAAAAUACUACUUACUGUUGUAAUUAGACAUCUGCAUUAAAAGCCCUCUCUUGA